UUUCAACAACGGAUCUCUUGGCUCUCGCAUCGAUGAAGAACGCAGCGAAAUGCGAUAAGUAAUGUGAAUUGCAGAAUUCAGUGAAUCAUCGAAUCUUUGAACGCACCUUGCGCUCUUUGGUAUUCCGAAGAGCAUGCCUGUUUGAGUGUC
rnacentral:rRNA from 2 species